rnacentral:tRNA from 1 species
GGGGGCGGAAGGGGCCCGGUGGCUCCCUCGAUCUUCAAAAUCGCUGAGCGUCGGUGAUCCCGGCGCUGGUGGGUUCGACUCCCAUGCGCCCCCGCCA